GGGCCCGCACAAGCGGUGGAGCAUGUGGUUUAAUUCGAUGAUACGCGAGGAACCUUACCAGGCUUAAAUGGGAGAUGACAGGGGCAGAGACGCCCUUUUCUUCGGACAUCUUUCAAGGUGCUGCAUGGUUGUCGUCAGCUCGUGCCGUGAGGUGUCAGGUUAAGUCCUAUAACGAGCGCAACCCCUACCGUUAGUUGCCAGCGAUUCAAGUCGGGGACUCUAACGGGACUGCCGGUGCAAACCGUGAGGAAGGUGGGGACGACGUCAAAUCAUCACGGCCCUUACGUCCUGGGCUACACACGUGCUACAAUGGUCGGUACAGAGGGAAGCUACCCCGCAAGGGGAUGCGGAUCUAUAAAACCGGUCUCAGUUCGGAUCGGAGUCUGCAACUCGACUCUAUGAAGCUGGAAUCGCUAGUAAUCGCGCAUC
rnacentral:rRNA from 1 species